CGAACGCUGGCGGCGUGCUUAACACAUGCAAGUCGAACGCGAAAGGGACUUCGGUCCUGAGUAAAGUGGCGCACGGGUGAGUAACGCGUAGAUAACCUGUCUUCAUGUCUGGAAUAAUACGCCGAAAGGGGUACUAAUACCGGAUAUUCUUGCUUUUCAUAAGUUAUGCAAGCAAAGGUGGCCUCUGCAUAUGCUACUGCAUGAAGAGGGGUCUGCGUACCAUUAGCUAGUAGGUGGGGUAAUGGCCUACCUAGGCGACGAUGGUUAGCGGGUCUGAGAGGAUGAUCCGCCACACUGGCACUGGAACACGGGCCAGACUCCUACGGGAGGCAGCAGUGAGGAAUAUUGCGCAAUGGGGGAAACCCUGACGCAGCGACGCCGCGUGAGUGAGGAAAGGCCUUCGGGUCGUAAAGCUCUGUCAAGAGGAAAGAAGUGUACAAUGGCUAAUACCUGUUGUAUUUGACGGUACCUCUAAAGGAAGCACCGGCUGACUCCGUGCCAGCAGCCGC
rnacentral:rRNA from 1 species